rnacentral:ncRNA from 2 species
UAAAAUUAAAAACGUCCGGGUUUCCCGUCUAAUACGGGAGUACAGGGAACCAGGUGCAAGUCCUGGACGGUGGGGCCACUGUAAACGGGUAGCGGCUUCCAAAAGCCACUGGAUUUUUUGAUCCGGGAAGGCGGAAGCGAAGUGAUGAUCCGUAAGCCAGGAAACCUGCCCGGACGUUGUAGGCACA